GUAGUCGUGGCCGAGUGGUUAAGGCGAUGGGCUUGAAAUUCAUUGGGGUCUUCCUGUGCAGGUUUGAAUCCUGCCGAUUAUG
rfam:Danio rerio unplaced genomic contig NA718, GRCz11 reference primary assembly.